GGAGCUUUGCUGAUGACCUUGCCGAAUAUCCGAAUGAAGUUCGUUUUACUGGCUUUCUCUUUCAUUUUGUCGGCCCUCUCCUUCAAAAGGUCUGUUUGUCAGAAGAUUUCAGUAGAACAUUGCUCCGUCGUGCCUGCAAUAUCCUAAGAGACAUGUGGUUAGAACAGGGCAAGAUGUAUUGUCUCCAGGAAUAGGGCAUUUACGUGAGAAUUCUUGUGCCUCUAUUGUUUAUUUCUCAAUGUUGUUGCCAUAUGACAUCCCCGCAGUUUACUGACCCCUUGAAGAAUUAUUAAGGAAUUAUGUUGUAUGUGAGUAGUGAAAGAUAAUCCAGUACUUCUCUCA